GUGUGAGGCCGCCCUGGCCACAGACACAUGCUGACACAUCCUCCCACAUGUCCAGCGCUUUACCAUCCUUUGGACAGCAUAACAUGUGCUGUUAACAGGAUUGUGGUUUUACAGUGAUGGAGUUUGAAUGUCCGGGCAGACAGAUCUACCGACAGGUGACGUUUACAGGCAGCACUGUAAUACUUUUAGAGAUAAUCUGAAGCCUGUGCCGUGGCCACACUAAGUUACAGAUCACUUUCAAAGGGACAGGACCUGAGUAUAUCACAGCCCUCCCCUAAGGUUGCAAUGGGGCAACUGCCAGAACAUUCAUCACUAGGGAAAAUCCAUCACUAGUCACUAUGAUUAAACACAAAAUGAGACUAUAUUUGAAUAAUAAAUACUAAUAUUUAGAUAUUGCAGUGGCUAGAGAAUCUUAAGCCAGUAUGAGUUGAGAGGCUACAGCAAAUGGUAUGUGAUAUGCUUAGUAAAGUAACACAGUGUUGUUCUUUUACGUUUAAAUAAUGGCUUCAAAAUAAUUUUGAUUAUACGCAGACUUGUAGUUGACAGAAUUGUGUCUCUGUCAGUACUGAUGC